rnacentral:lncRNA from 1 species
UCCUGCAGCAUAUGGAGGUUCCCGGGCUAGGGGUCUAAUUGGAGCUGUAGCCGCCUGCCUUUGCCAGAGCCACAGCAUCGUGGGAUCCAUGCCGCGUCUACAUCCUACACCACAGCUCACGGCAACGCCGGAUCCUUAACCCACUGAGUGAGGCCAGGGAUCAAACCCGCAACCUCAUGGUUCCUAGUCGGAUUCGUUAACCACUAUGCCACGACGGGAACUCCAGCAACCAUAUGUAUUGUGACAACUCCUAAAUAUCUCUAGUGUGUGUUUCAGAUAUUAUCUAUCUAUCCAUCUCUCUGUCAAGAAACAGAGAUGUAGUUAACUGUCUAGUUCACAGCUGCACCUGCAUAUCCUAUAGCACUUCACACUUAACAUGCCCUAAAUUAAACUCAUCAUCUAAUAUCCUUAUCCUACCCCCAACAUGUAUUCUUUCUUUAUUUCCGUUUUGACUAAUUACCUCACCAUCCAACCCAGUCCCCAAACCAGAAAACUUUGUCUUCUUAGUGUUCCUGUCCUGCACUGGCUGUCUCCUUUACACUCUCAUUCUUCAAUGCCGAUCUCCCUCUCCACCGCCAGACCAUCGGUCCCUUAAAGGAGGAUUUAGCCUACUCGCUUUUGCAUAUCCAGUCACCAAAAGGGGUGGGAGAGGAGGAAGAUUAUAUCCUUUUGAUAAUCACAUCUUAAAUAUAUCCAUUCAUUCAAAAAAUACUUAUUUAGCACUUUAUAGGAGAAAUAUUCAUGAUUUACUUAAAUUGUCACCUCCUUUGUAAAUACAUAUUCUUCGUCUUAAUGACUGCCGGUAGCAAUCAUUUGUAACAGUCUGUGAAAAUCCAAAAUCAGCGCCUUCCAACCUAAUUGUUACUAACAAACACUACUGUUACCAUUUUACAGUGAGGUUAGGGACACAGCCAGCAAUCAGAAACCAUUCACAGAAACGUUCGCAAAAAGCCUGACUUUACAACUUGCAUUGUGUUGUUUUAACUAGAAAGGAGACCUUGAAAUAUACCUGAUCCUGCAAAGUAAUUCUACCCACAAAAUGGGCAAAAGGAGAGAUUUCCCAUUUUGUUCACCAACCCGUAAUUUGGUAGGAGGGGUUUGAGCUAUUUUAAUUAAUUAUUGCAAAUUAAAUAUUCAACAACUUGAACUGAGCCCUUAAAAGAAUGAAAAAAAAUAUCCAUAGCUCCCCUCUGCUAAAACUGCAGUUGAUGAUAGAAUUCCUACUGUCUAAUCUAUAAAAAUAAAACCCGACUUUUCAGCUAAUUCCGUUUUCUCAAACACAAAAAAACAGUGCCACCCCAGUUAGAUGCUUUAACAUGCACGUUGAUUUCUACUCACAGCUGUGGCAAUUAGAAAGUGUACUUAAUGGAGUGUCAUGUUAAUUGUUUUCAGAGUUAACCAAUUUCUCCAUUUAAUUGUCAAUUGAUUAACCUAUUGAAAUGUUAAGUGACUCAGUUUCCUUCCAGAGUAAACAGCAGCAGCAUAUGGUAACUUCAUCAGCCGAAGGCAGCACUCAUUUGCCUGGAUUCAAUGUACCGGUAUUUUUCUACACCUCCCUGAGCUUUUAAUUAGAUGAGGCAAUGUUACAUGUAUUUGUCUGCUGGAAAGGUUAUCAGUGCCACCGCUGACCUGCAGAGGCAAGGUUGAGUCUAGCAGCUUUAAUAGAAACGGUUUUCAGCUAUGACUGUUGUACUUGAUUGCAUUGUGAUGGUAAUUAACUCAAGACCGCUUUCCUCAGCUGUGUGUGUGUGUGUGUGUGUGUGUGUGUGUGUGUGUAUUUUCCUGUAGCUCUAACUAUGCCAUGAGAUGUUUCCUCUGUCAUAUAUAUGCACUUAUUAAGCACUUAUUGGAUUCUAAUAAGCAUGCAAAUAGUCAAGAGUUUCUUUAGGCUAAUACCACACUACUCAGAUAGCACAGUGCCAUUAAAUGAGUACAAUGUUCACUGCCUGCAGCAUGUUCUGCAGAGAAAAAGCCAAUUCCUGUUGGUAGAAUUUCGCUCCUUUAUUUUCAUGGUGUCUCAUUCCAGCAGAUCUUCACACUCUAAAGUAAAAAUGAUUUUCUGUUUUUCAAUUUAACCAUGUAUGAGGCCACUUAGGGUUGAAGGAGACACAGACUUGGAUUUGGAGGCAUUUUUCCAAUAUUCCCGUUAACGAUGACUGUGUCUCAGAGACCAAAGAAGUGACCAAAUAAGGUCCUGGUGGUGAGCUAUUCAUUCAGUCUCCUCACCUCUUCCACACUGUUUUCUGACUCUGGGUGCGUGCUCCUUGCAUGUGUGUUUUUACUGUACCACACUAUUGUUUAAUUACGAGCCAAUCCACAACGGAGGCAGCAUUAUCAUCCUUGAUAAUGUUGGUAGCAGGCAACUGAGACAAAAUGAUUACAAACCUAUGUUGUGUUCAAUAGUUCUUUAGAGGAUUUCUCUCUUAAUAGUUCUGGCUCAUUCAUGUUUGAUUCAGCACAUUUGUUCUUUCAAAAAGGCAUAGCUUAGAAGAGUUUCAGGGUGGGUUAAUAACUCGACUGAAAAUGGCUGCUCGCAUUGUAAAAGCUUGUUCCUGAGGUUGCUCGGGGCUUUCUUCAGUUUUGCCGCUCUGCAGCUUCGGCCCAGUUGGUAAACAGCUUAAGUCCAGACAUCUUUUCAUUUUCUGAGCAGCGGAUUGAAAUAAAAAUGCAUAUAAGUGGCGACUGACUGGCGCUGGCCUAACAAUAGCCUGUAACAUUAUGCAAGGGUAUUUACAUAGGAAUAAGGCCUUACUGAAGGAGAUGGGGCAAUUAAUGGUGUGCGCCACACAUAUAAGGAAAGUUUGUCCGAUCCUUUCCUCAAUAAAGAUCUUUUGUAAAGUGCUAUGGAAACUCACGGAGGCCCCCAAAGAGAUUAAGGGGAGGACUUUUCUGGAACUUUAAAAAUAUAUAUAUUUUUGAAACUUACAGUUUACGUAUUCACAUGUAGGUAAAUUGAAAUUUUCAAAAAGCCAGAUUAUAUUAAAUACGUGUACAGAAAUGAAAUCUUUGUUUUGUUUUCAUCAUUUUGGGUAGUUUCUCCAAGCCUGUAAAAGAAGGCAGUGCACUUUUUUUUUUUUUUUUCAGUUUUCCUCUCUUCCUUUUAUUUUUUUCUGAUAGAAGAUUGUUCCAAGAUAGUCAAAUUCCUUAGCUGUCAUGUUUCUCUGUGUGUUUGAAAUUGAAGCAUCACAUUUAAAAUAUUGGAAAAGUUUUUGUCUUACUUCUUAUUUCAAGUAAUGUUUAAGCAAAGGGAGGAAAAAUUGCCCAGUGGCCAGGCCUGGGGGAAAAUCCUCAAGAUUUACAGGAGUGUCAGGCGGUUUGGCAGGCACAAUGAAAAUGAACAGCCACGCAACUGGGAGGGACCAGAAAGAAAAUGCAAGGGGUGUGUCGUGGGAGGAUGUGAAAGCCCUAGGUCAAACCUUAUUCUUUUUUAGGAUAUAUGUCAUAAGAGAAUAAAUAUCUUGUCACUCCAGAUAAAAAUUAAAAGGUCAAAUGCUUAAAUUAUUUUUGUCUUGAUACUGUCCCAUCCCAAUAUACUGUCUUUUUUUUUUUUUGGAAGUGGGAAGUCCCCCUCACCCCCACCCCCACCCUUAGCCCACUGACCCAGCAGUAAGAGACAAAUCUGGGGUAGCUCUGUCACAGGUUUUCAUUCUUAUCAGAAGCUCACCAUCUGCUUCUGCCCUUGGCCAGAGAGCAUAACUGUUAUUAUUACUUUGGAUGAGAAUACUUUUAAUAAAGUAUUGUCAGCAUUCUAAAAUAAGAAACAGAAAAUAAGGAAAAAAAAAAAGAAAAGAAACAGAAAAAGAACCCAAGACCUCCUUGCAGGUUUUAGGACCAGCGAAAAAAUUUACUAUCUACUUCAAGCAAAGGACUUUAGUUUCUUUUUCCCAUUUUUCUUUUUAAUGUCUCAUCUCAUUCAAAGGACACUUUCUCAGAAGGUAGAGCUUUGGCAGGGAAUGCUCAAGCUCUGUUUACACUUGCCGGUCAAACUGAUCCUACUUCCAAAGUUGUUUUUAUCCCAUUUCCUCAUUUAUAGGUGAUUCAUGUCCAUAUAGGAUGAGUGAAAUAAAAUCUUAAUGUGAUAACGAAUAAGCUUUGGGUGCCUCUGUGUGUGUGGCAUACAGAGAAAGCGAUUUCAGCUGCAGUCCUGUCAAGCAGGCAGAAAUCAAUGCCUCAUUCAGGACUAUUGAUCAGUACUAAAUUAAUUAGACUCCAAGGCUUAUGGCAGUUGAUAAGACAACUUGUUAAUUUAGUCAAUGAUAGUGUUUUCCCUAAAGCAGCAAAUACCCUCUUCUUUAGAAAAGGCAUUUCUUAUACCUGCUGCCAGUUCUUUUCGUUUUUUCAUCUUGUUUUCUUUUUCUGGGAAGGGAGUCUUUAGGGGUAAGAGGGUGGGGUGGGGGGGAUCAGUAGGCAAAAGAGUGCUGUAAAAAUGUAUAUGCUGAAGAGUCAGCCUGUAAGAGUCAGUGACCCACAGCCAUUUCUGCUCCUAGCCUAAUGUGGUUUUAGGAUGAAAAGAAUGAAGCCAGAUUAUAACCCAGGACCUGGAUUUCCUAUGGAGCUUUGGCCGAGUAAGGCCACUCUAGCCCCACAAGGAUGUUCAUUUGGAAGGGGCUACUUCCUAAACUUGCAUUUAGAAGGGACUGAUAAAGAUUGCUUUUGCUUUUCAUUUAAACCUGCAACAGUGAUGGUCACAGUCAAUAACAAAGCCUUGAGCCCUGUCAGUUAUGCAAACUGUGAAUGGAAUGAAGGUAUCCCAGAAUGCCCUGAACAUGGGGCAGUACUUCCUGCUGGCUUGGAAGGACAAAAGGACAAAGCCCGGGAGUGUAGGGGUCCCACCAACAGCUCUUGGAGGCAACAGCCUGCUAUCAGCAGCACUCCAACCCUCUGAGAAUGCUAAUAAGCUAGUGAAGAGCUCAGCUUUCUUGCCAUAAUUCUAUAGUGUGGUUGAGGACCCCAUAGUGCUCACUAAAUAAAGACAACUAAUUGAGAAUUUUUUGCACAUUUUGCCCAGGGGACUUGUUGUUCAUUCGAUUCUUUGGGGAGAAUGUACCCCUACUGACAAGAGGAACUGAUUGUUUUGGCAGCAGCCUCAUGUGACUCUUCCCUGGGUCUAAGACUGACUUUCGAAGUAUGACAAAAAUGUUUAAUUUUGAUUUUUUUUAAUUAUGUUGCUGGGAAUUAUUUUAGAUCUCAAAGAAUAGGCAUUCCAGCGUUCAUCUAAAAAAAAAAAAAAAAAAAAA